UAAGAUAUCUGCUUGGUUAGCCCUGCAAGUUCUAUGCUUUAAGACGUUAUAGUGGUAAAUAAGGGAACCAGCUGCGGUUACAAUUGGUGACCACGAAGGGACUUGUACUUGGAAGCUUUAAAUAUAAAAUAAGAGGGUCGAGAUUCAACUGAGACGCUCCAAGACGGACGUUUUUGGGAGAGGUAAGAAGAUAGUCCUGUUCUUGUUGCCGGGGUCAGAUGUCUGCCCAGUGGCGGGCGGGACCAAGUUCCUAAGCACACGCCCGGGUAUA